rnacentral:tRNA from 1 species
AACCGUUUUAGAAACAUCAGUGGCCAACGAUCGUCAGGAUUGUUGAGCUGCAUUGGCGGGAUUUCGCCGUCUUCGUUUCUCUUUCUUCGCGGACGAACACGCGCUGGGGCUGCAAGCUUGCAGAAUCCCUGGUCCUUGACUGGAUAUGCGUUAGGGGCUUGUAGCUCAGUUGGUUAGAGCGCGCGCUUGAUAAGCGUGAGGUCGGAAGUUCAAGUCUUCCCAGGCCCACCACACUCAUCGAGUGAGCAUUCGUCUUCUGGUUACGGGGCCAUAGCUCAGCUGGGAGAGCGCGUGCUUUGCAAGCAUGAGGUCGUCGGUUCGAUCCCGUCUGGCUCCACCAGAUGGUUUGAUCAUCGACUGAUCGUGCACCUAAAUCGUCCGCGAAACAUNACUUCGCACUUACUAGUCCGGAUGGACAGUAAGCUGCGUGAUUUCUGACAUCGUAAAGAGGAGAUCGAUCCGAGUUGGAUCGGGCAACAAGCAAUUGUUGCGCGAUACUUCAUUAUCUCCGGAUCAUUUCGGCGCUCGUGCGCCUUUCAAUGUAGCNCACAAGGCUGCGUCUGAGAGGAAUGCGAGUUGUAAAUGAUCCUUUUAGCGAAGCUUGACCGCCUCGCUAUCGGAACGAUCUUACGAAGCAAGCUGGUCUUUCUAAUCAUUGUCCGGCUGCAGAUAGCGUUCAUCGAGGGCGCGUGCCGCAAGGUAAUUCUGCAGACAACAUUCUGCCGAGUGUGUGGACAUUGAUAAUGAGAGCAAUCAAGUGCCUUAAGGGUGUUCGGUG